rnacentral:miRNA from 1 species
AUCUCGGAGCUAAGCAGGGUCGGGCCUGGUUAGUACUUGGAUGGGAGACCAUUCAGGUG